rnacentral:rRNA from 1 species
UACGAAGGGGGCUAGCGUUGUUCGGAUUUACUGGGCGUAAAGCACACGUAGGCGGAUCGAUCAGUCAGGGGUGAAAUCCCAGAGCUCAACUCUGGAACUGCCUUUGAUACUGUCGAUCUGGAGUAUGGAAGAGGUGAGUGGAAUUCCGAGUGUAGAGGUGAAAUUCGUAGAUAUUCGGAGGAACACCAGUGGCGAAGGCGGCUCACUGGUCCAUUACUGACGCUGAGGUGCGAAAGCGUGGGGAGCAAACAGG